GGAGGAGUGGCAGAGCUGGUUGAAUGCACCGGUCUUGAAAACCGGCGUGCGUUAACGCGUACCGGGGGUUCGAAUCCCUCCUCCUCCG
rnacentral:tRNA from 1 species